rnacentral:rRNA from 1 species
AUUGAACGCUGGCGGCAGGCUUAACACAUGCAAGUCGAGCGGAGUGAUGGUGCUUGCACUAUCACUUAGCGGCGGACGGGUGAGUAAUGCUUAGGAAUCUGCCUAUUAGUGGGGGACAACAUCUCGAAAGGGAUGCUAAUACCGCAUACGUCCUACGGGAGAAAGCAGGGGAUCACUUGUGACCUUGCGCUAAUAGAUGAGCCUAAGUCGGAUUAGCUAGUUUGUGGGGUAAAGGCCUACCAAGGCGACGAUCUGUAGCGGGUCUGAGAGGGUGAUCCGCCACACUGGGACUGAGACACGGCCCAGACGCCUACGUGAGGCAGCAGUGGGGAAUAUUGGACAAUGGGGGGAACCCUGAUCCAGCCAUGCCGCGUGUGUGAAGAAGGCCUUAUGGUUGUAAAGCACUUUAAGCGAGGAGGAGGCUCUUUUGGUUAAUACCCAAGAUGAGUGGACGUUACUCGCAGAAUAAGCACCGGCUAACUCUGUGCCAGCCGCCGCAGUAA